CCGUGCCGAGCGCGUUCCUCAGUCCGCCCCAGGGCAUUACACGACGGGCUAUAACACUCCCCGAAGGGAGCCACAUUCCCGCCGCCUUUAUCCCCCGGGGCAAACUGAUGCUGGCCUGGACUGGCAGAGUGCACCGGCGAGAACGCCGGAUGUUCAACCAAGCCCAAGUCUGGUCAUGAAUGCUUCCCUUUCAACAAUUUCACGUACUUUUUAACCCUCUUUUCAAAGUGCUUUUCAUCUUUCGAUCACUCUACUUGUGCGCUAUCGGUCUCUGGCCGGUAUUUAGCUUUAGAAGACGUACACCUCCCAUUUAGAGCAGCAUUCCCAAACUACUCGACUCGUCGAAGGAGCUUUACAGAGGCUUGGUGGUCCUACCGUACGGGGCUCUCACCCUCUAUGGCGUCCCGUUCCAGGGAACUCGGAAGGCACCUCGCCAAAAGCAUCCUCUACAAAUUACAACUCGGACCUUGCGGCCAGAUUUCAAAUUUGAGCUGUUGCCGCUUCACUCGCCGUUACUGAGGCAAUCCCUGUUGGUUUCUUUUCCUCCGCUUAUUGAUAUGCUUAAGUUCAGCGGGUAUUCCUACCUGAUCCGAGGUCAACCUUAAAAAAUUGGGGGUUUCACGGCGUGGCCGAGCCGCUCUCCGGUGCGAGGUGUGCUACUACGCAGGGGAGGCUGCGGCGCGACCGCCACUCAAUUUGGGGGACAGGGGCCCGGAGGCCGCUGAUCCCCAGCACCAGGUCCCCCCCGAAAGGGGGUCCUGAGGGUUGAAAUGACGCUCGGACAGGCAUGCCCGCCGGAGUGCCGGCGGGCGCAAUGUGCGUUCAAAGAUUCGAUGAUUCACUGAAAUUCUGCAAUUCACAUUACU
rnacentral:misc_RNA from 1 species